CUAGAAGCUCUCGACCAAAGAGGAUAUUAUUGUGCAUUCAAAUGGAUAAGGCACCUCUCUGCAGGUUGUAGCUGCUUAACUCUGAGCAACAGACUUUCAAAAAAUCCUCUUUCUACAAGUGUCAGUAGAACAAGAUGAAAGAAGUUUACCUCAUGAAACAUUAAGAUUGUACCAACACGUAUGACCAGGUGAAUCCAUUUCUGAGGCCACUGCCAAGAGUCUUCUGCAAAUGAGGGACCCUGCCGCUUAAAUUUCAUCAGCUCUGUAUAGGUGAGAAGAACUUCCAGGUUGGAAGGGCCCUUCGGCCCCAGCUAUCAGGACUGUGUUCGGGACGAGUGUGCCGGUGAGGCUGGCCCGCUUCAGGCUGGGCAGAUUCUUCGCCCAACUCAGUAGGAAUCAUCAGGGACCUACGUUUUUUGAAGAGAACGUUAGCAUCUUUUCUUCUCAUUCCAAGAACUGGCUACAAGAAACCCCUCAUCUGAGCUACCAGAAAUGUG